rnacentral:lncRNA from 1 species
UAAGGUUGUCCUAAAAUCAACGGAUAAGACGUUGUAUCUUGAACAAAGAAAUGUUGCUCCGUCGCAACAUCUCCAAUCCGAAUUUUGACAUCUGGACAAGCUCCAUAUAAUUCGCCCCGUGUGUUAUUAGCUGCUCGUAUUGUCCAUCCAUGUUCCAUAUCAAUUGGCCAUUUUUGCUUCUUAUAAAGAUCAUUAGACAUGAGAUUUAUUUCAGAACCAUGGUCGAUUAAAGCAACAAUUGGUUCUUCUAUAUCUCCAAUACCUCAGUAGUUGUCCUUGCCUAAUGCUUUCGAGUAUAAUGGCUCAAAGUUUCCAUUUUCUUAUCACUAUAAUCUUCGAAAUAUACUCGUUGAUUAUACCCAUUCUUUUCAUUUGUUGGUUGCUUGUAACCAAUAUCAACCUCUUCUUCAUCUUUAUAUAUUCUUGCAUCAAUAGCAUGACUCAUUCCAGUUUUGCCCAUUAAUUACCUCUUUCGCUUAAUGCUGUCAAUGAUAACAUCAUGAAACU